UACGAGGGGGGCAAGCGUUGUUCGGAAUUAUUGGGCGUAAAGGGCGCGUAGGCGGUUUGGCAAGUCUAGUGUGAAAUCUUCGGGCUCAACUCGAAGUCUGCACUGGAAACUGCCGGGCUUGAGUAUGGGAGAGGUGAGUGGAAUUUCCGGUGUAGCGGUGAAAUGCGUAGAUAUCGGAAGGAACACCUGUGGCGAAAGCGGCUCACUGGACCAUAACUGACGCUGAUGCGCGAAAGCUAGGGGAGCAAACAGG
rnacentral:rRNA from 1 species